UAGUCCACGCCGUAAACGAUGUCAACUAGCCGUCUGUGGUCUUGAACCGUGGGUGGCGUAGCUAACGCGCUAAGUUGACCGCCUGGGGAGUACGGCCGCAAGGUUAAAACUCAAAUGAAUUGACGGGGCCCGCACAAGCGGUGGAGCAUGUGGUUUAAUUCGAUGCAACGCGAAGAACCUUACCAUCCCUUGACAUCCAGAGAAGCGACUAGAGAUAGACGUGUGCCUUCGGGAACUCUGUGACAGGUGCUGCAUGGCUGUCGUCAGCUCGUGUUGUGAAAUGUUGGGUUAAAGUCCCGCAACGAGCGCAACCCCUAUCCUUAUUUGCCAGCGCAUAAUGGCGGGAACUCUAAGGAGACUGCCGGUGAUAAACCGGGAGGAAGGUGGGGACGACGUCAAGUCAUCAUGGGCCCUUACGGGGAUGGGGGCUACACACGUGCUACAAUGGCGUAUACAGAGGGCAGCAAUACCGCGAGGUGGAGCGAAUCCCACAAAGUACGUCGUAGUCCGGAUC
rnacentral:rRNA from 1 species